UAUCGGUAAUGAAGGGAUAGCAGCCGAUUUGUGCUUAAUACAUUAGUCAAUGAAAGCUUGGUAAAGCCAGUAAACAUAUCAACAGCUCAUCAUAAGAAUAUCAGUAGAAAAACAAAACGAUGUCGACCUAUGGUAUAUUAAGAAAAUUUAAAAGUAAAACCUUCGCAAUAGUUUUUUUCUCAUCACGCCGUUUGAGCUUUUAGCAAUAAAAAGUCGAAAGUGGUUUUUUAUAAAAAAAUUGUAUCUUUGGUAGUUUAGUAUUUUAGGAACAUUAGUAGUGAGCUUUUCCUAAUAAAGUUAUACUACAGUGAAUGAGUUUGAGCUCUUAUAGCAUAAAGUAGUUUACUCAUAAACCAUCAGGUAACGUUAAAACGUAUUGAUUUAUUCUACGUCUUUCAGUAGUAAUUCGUGAUCUGAGAUAUCUUAAACAGAGAAUGGAAGAAAAAAUAAAACAACAUUUAAACCAUGGUCAAAAAUUUACCACAAUACGAACAAUGUAGCAUUUUCCAUCAAUUGUCUGAUGACCAGUAUAA